rnacentral:rRNA from 1 species
UAGCGUAAGGGGCAAGCGUUUGUCCGGGAUUUAUUGGGCGUAAAGAGCGUGUAGGCGGUCAGGUAAGGUCGGUUGUGAAAACUGGAGGCUCAACCUUCAGAGGUCCGACCGAAACCCCCUGGCUAGAGUCCGGGAGAGGAGAGUGGAAUUCCUGGUGUAGCGGUGAAAUGCGCAGAUAUCAGGAAGAACACCCGUGGCGAAAGCGGCUCUCUGGAACGGUACUGGACGCUGAAGACGCGAAAGCGUGGGGAGCGAACAGG